AACGAACGCUGGCGGCAUGCCUAACACAUGCAAGUCGAACGAGAACUUCGGGUCUAGUGGCGGACGGGUGCGUAACGCGUGGGAACCUGCCCUUAGGUUCGGAAUAACUCCCCGAAAGGGGUGCUAAUACCGGAUAAUCUCUUCGGACCAAAGAUUUAUCGCCUUUGGAUGGGCCCGGGUUGGAUUAGGUAGUUGGUAGGGUAAUAGCCUACCAAGGCGACGAUGCAUAGCUGGUCUGUGAGGAUGAUCAGCCACACUGGGACUGAGACACGGCCCAGACUCCUACGGGAGGGAGCAGUGGGGAAUAUUAGACAAUGGGGGCAAACCUGAUCCAGCCAUGCCGGGUGAGUGAUGAAGGCCUUAGGGUUGUAAAGCUCUCUUACCCGGGAUGAUAAUGACGGUACCGGGAGAAGAAGCUCCGGCUAACUCCGUG
rnacentral:rRNA from 1 species